rnacentral:ncRNA from 8 species
UGAGGUAGUAGGUUGUGUGGU